rnacentral:ncRNA from 2 species
UUCUUAUCAAGAGAGACGGAGGGAGAUGGCCCUAAGAAGUCUCAGCAACCAGCCUCAUGGCAAGGUGCUAAAUCCAGCAGUCGACCUGCAAGAUAAGAG